rnacentral:lncRNA from 1 species
CGGGAAGGAUGACGAAACAUCAGUAUCUGAAGAUUCUGAAAUGAACUCGGGUUCGAUCAUCGUUCCUGACAAUAAAAAAACAAGAAAUUAUUCUGACAAUUUUACAUGUCGCUAUGCUAAUCCUACCAGGCCAUAUAAAUUGUUAAAAGCAACUUCCAUUCACAAUUGAGGUAGUCAAUUACUGGCGUAGUGUAGUGUAAGCACCAACAAUGAUGCUGUGGUUGCUGACUUGCUGUGUAUAUUUUUGGUCGUGUCAGAGAGCUCUUUAAAUCGAUUGGCCUAGUUAUUACAUUCACGAACAUCCAAAUCGACAGAGGAUAAGCCUUUAAGCACCGGCUUAUUCAACCGUGCUCUAUUAAGACAUAACAUUUGCAAGCAUGAAAAUAGAAAUAAAACUAAGAAAGACCCCAAAUGUCACAACUUGUUGGCCGUUUAUCCGUAUAUAUUUCUAAUUCAAUAUUUUGUCAAGGCCGGUUUAUAGCUUUCUAAAGGUCUCGCUCUAUUUUAAGUUUUUGUUUUGUAGUUUUAUAUAUGUUAAUUUUGUUUUAAUUUACGGUGAUUCAUUUUAAUAAUUUUUUUUUUGAGUUUAUUAAUUUUAUUUAGAUUAGAUUAUUUUUGUUUUGUUAGAAAAAACGUGUUGCUUUCAAUUUUAUAAUUUUAUUUUGUUUUAAAAUUUAAUUUCACUUUCUAAAUGUUUUUUUUAAAAUUUAUUUUUAUUUUAUUUUAUUUUUUAAUUUAUAAAGUACAUUUUAAAAUAUAAUUCAUUCAAAUAAUAAUAUAGACUAGAAUAAAUUCUAAUGAUAAGCCACAAUCAAUUUAUUAGACUUACAGUCUUGAACUAAUCAUUUUAAAAAUUAUUUAUUUCUAGUUAAAGUUUAUAAACAAAAUAGUUUAUUAAAAUCUAUAUACAUUAACAGUUUGGUCAGUCGGUAUUUAAGCGGAAUUAUGGACUUACUUAUCCUUUUUAACUAAAAUUAUUAUCUUUUUUAUAUUUUUUAACUAAAUAAACUCAACCUUUUUAACUAAAACACAUUAUUUUUUUUUCAGAUUCCUAACUGAAAAACUGAUUUUCCAAAAAAUAAAACAUACAAUAUACAUAUAAAUAAGAUAAUAGUAUUAUGUAUAAUUAUUAAUAUACAACCAAUGAAAUGUUUCAAUUAAAUACAUCAAUGUUGUUUUUAAUUACUCAUUGUUAUUACUUUUAAAAGUAAUAUCAUAGAUUUAUACAAUACUAUACUAUUAUAUUAUUAUUAUUAUUAUUACUAUUAUUAUUAUUAUAUUAAAAUUGAAAUUUAAUAAUUUUAUUGAUCGGACAUUAUAUAUACUCACGAGCCCAACCGAAACUAAUCAUGAGCCUUCAUGUUUUGGUCAUCCUUUUGUAGGGUGAGAGAACCCAAAAUAGAGGACGUAGUCUUAGAAAGCACACAAGGGACUUAGUGUAUAAAGUUGAUAACCUUUAAGUUGAGGCCAGUUGUAAUAGAGAUGAUGAGGCCUUAGAGCCUAGUGGCCUAGUUGACGAAUGUGCCCUAGGGAGAAAACCCCUAAACUAGCAGUCUUGAACUAUGUCGUUUCCGAGAUGAAUGACCCUGAUAUAGCAAUCAUUGAUCACAAAGUCCUUAAUAUGACAAAGUCAAGAUAUAGUGAAUCACAGGGUGAUGACCCCUAGAGUGAUGACUCAUUGGAUGAUAACCCGAGCGACCCAGUUGGAGCGUUCCUGGUGGCGCAAACAUUGUUGGAGCGACCCCGGGUGGAGCGAUCCCGAUGGAACAGCCCCGGGUGCAGAGACCUCGAGCGAAGAGACUCCAAGAUAGAGAGACCUAAGUGUAACGACCUCCAGAGCUAUCAUGCGUACCUUUAACGAUCCCUCUUCUGGGAUGAGGACCUUGAACCUUGAUAAAUCUUCUAUGUAAGGAAGGCUCACUAAUGGUGUGGCAUAACAAAAUGAUGAGUCCAAAGAACUUGGUCCAAUUUUGAUAUUGGACUAGAGAGCUGAUGAUAUUCAUUAAUUAAGAUGAAUAAGCCCACCGCGAUGAUCAAUAUAUGAACUUGGCCUGUCGAGGCCGAUUCCACUUUCGAGUAGCACAAGAUAAUAUUAUUUUUGUGUGAGUGUUCUUCGGGACUCUCUUAGAUAUGGGAUUUAUUAAAUAUCUAUUCAUGUGUUUUAAAUCAGGACUUUCACCAUAAAAGAAAAAAAGACAACUCAUCAAAUUAUAUAUAGAUAACAAAAUCUUGAACCAUGUUAUCUCUACUAUAGGAGAAAGUCAUACCUUCAUCGGCACUUGAAGCCAUGGAAGUAAAGAGUUGUCUUUGUUGUGAAGACGAUCUCCCACAUGCUCACUUUUGUGACUCAAUACUGUAAUAUUGUUAGAUGUAUCAUAAUGGAUCGUGUAUCGAAUGUCUCAAAAAAUUGUUCCAAUCAUGGGAUGUUUGACUCGAACUAGUACCACC